CAGUGUUGGAAGUGAGACCCUGCUCUGCACAUGAGGCAUAAGCCACACCACACCACAGCUGCUGCUGUUGGCUUCUGAACUUCCUUCUUUCUCAGUACACCACCCAGGGCCUCCCUAUUCUGGAGGGAGGCCACGUACAGGUUGGGAUCUCCUGACUGCACUAUGGGAGAUGCUUCAUCCAACCACAACAAUUUUUCCUGGAAGUAAAGAUGACUACCAAUAAGAUGAGGAACUCAGUCACUGGUCUGGCUUGCUAGAAGAAAUAAGCUUGAAGGAAAUAGUGCAGAGCUAAGUCGAAGGCACCUCACACCAAGGAAGAUAAAGGAUGGAGAACGGGGGGAAGCUGGGUAUGCUGAAUGGGUAUGAGGUCUUAGUGCCUACCCUGAUUUUGUCCUUCUCUAGUUGUCCCUGAUUCUUCCCCAGAAGUAUUUCAUCUUAAAUCUUGAGCUUCAUCUUGUGUU